UAACAGGUGGGUCUCCUAAACUCAGCUGCUUUUGGCAAUUAUCUACAGUAUUCCAGAGUUGUGCUUCUGUCCACCUCAGCUGCUUGCCUGUUUGGCUCAGAGAGUAUCAACUUUGAAAACAAGGCAAAGAGAAAACAAUCCAUCAGCAGGACUAUCUCAGGAGCCGAGAACAAGGCACAGUCGGCCAGUGCUGCUUGAGGAAUGGCAUAAAGAACGAUGCAGGAAGGAAACAUUUAAUCCAUCUACUUUGAUCCAAAAAACUGUCUUGAUGACAUUUGGAAGGAUUUAAUGACAUUUUCCUUGGUUCCAGCUCUACUAUUCAGCCAUACCUCAUUGUAUAUGAUUAAGCUGUAACUCUGCAGACAGUUAUAGGGCCCAAUGCCUCAAGUUCAUAAUUAAGAUGCAAAAACAAAAAAUGAAACAAACAAAAACUCCAACAACAACCAAAAAAUAAUUUUGCCAAGUACUCCUUUCCCAAUAAUUGACUUGAAAUGCUCUCUGUUCUCUACUGAGCUCUGAGUUGUGAAGCAGUUCCUUGGAUGGGGACUAUCAGACUUGACUCACACUAGGAUCUUUUCUAACUGCUUUCAUCUCCCAAAUGCCUACCAUGAUUCAGAGGUUACCAGAUGUUGCAUCUAGUAAUAAAGGUAUAAAAAUG